rnacentral:rRNA from 1 species
UACGGAGGGUGCAAGCGUUAUUCGGAGUUACUGGGCGUAAAGGGCGCGUAGGCGGUCUGUUAUGUCUGAUGUGAAAGCCCUGGACUUAAUUCAGGAAGUGCAUUGGAAACUGGCAGGCUAGAGUAUAGGAGGGGAGAGCGGAAUUCCUGGUGUAGAGGUGAAAUUCGUAGAUAUCAGGAGGAACAACAGUGGCGAAGGCGGCUCUCUGGACUAUAACUGACGCUGAGGCGCGAAAGCGUGGGUAGCAAACAGG